GGCUGGAUGUGCUUAUUCUGUCUAUGCAAGUCUUCCUGCAGGUUGGUGUUUAAGCUAUACUUGUGUGAAUCGAGACCGCCAUCCCAUGGUUGCUCUCAGAUUUGUUCUCAGAGAGAUAAAUGGCUGUUACCCCCCGCCCACCUUUCUUUACAGGGUGGUUGUACUGAAACAAAAGACCACGUCCUUCAUAUAUUCAGUGCUGUGUUUUGACAUGCUGUGUAUUGAGUUAAACCUCUUCCCAGCUGCCAAAAACCUUCAACUUCACUUACCUAUGGCACGUAACUUUCAGUGCUCUGAAAAGUUAUCGAAGGGCAGGAGGGCACAGGAAAAGAAUAAAACAAAGAGAUUUUACAGCCAGACUACAGUGAACCUGCAGUAUAGUUAUACUGGUACCAUAAAGGAAUCAUUUUGGAUGCUGCUACUUUUGUUUGCCAAGGUAAAUGCUAUAGCAGAGCUAUGGCCAAAUGAAUUCCUGAAAGUAAUCUUUAUUUGGUAAAGAGACAAACUAUGAUGCUACAGUAAUUUUGUAUUGCAGUACUUCACUAUGCUGUAGUUUCUCACAGGGGAGGGUUGAAUACCUAAUGUUGUUUAGGGAGCCGUGAUAGCUUUUACAUUUUUACAGAUGCUUUCUAAAAUAAGCUAACAUCACCUGCUUGUUUUCCAAGCAUUCUCUGCAGAAUGGCUUUAGUGCACUCUUAACACAACAGUUUCUGUCUUCAGAAGGAAUCCUCAAAGUAAAUCCUGGCAAUGGGAGAGAAGGACAGAAUAGCUUUCUGUUUCUGAAAGGGAAAUAGCUGUUUGCUUGAGACUACUUACUGGUAUGUGUCCCACUUGAAAUGUUGAGUGCUCCUGCCAAGUUUUACAGGGUGUUUAUUUAAUAUGAGUUUCUGCUGAAUGUGUAAAUUUUCUUGACUACGUUGUGCCUGACAUAUCCAUAUGUGAAACUUAAGAGGGCUGGUCUGCACAGGAACAAUCCAUAAAUGUAAGGAAAUUGGCUGAACACAUAAAGUCAAUACACCUAAAUUACUCUAUCUUAAACUCUCCUGCGGAUAAUUUCUUUCUGGAGUAGAGUGAUUUCAUUUUAUUGCAUAGUAAGCCAAAAGGUAAAAUUACUUCACAACUGAAUGAGAACAUCCACGCUGUGUAACUGACUGUAAUUGAGGGUGUUUGCAAACAUCCUCUGGUUAAUCUACAUUCUGGUUAAACUGAGCUAAGAAACCUGCUUCCCAAAACAAACCGUCAUCAUUCAGAAGGCAAAGGCUGCUGCCUUUACCUAUACAGCCAGCUAUCUAAGGACUCUGUCCUGUUUCAGUACAAAUUUAGGCAAACCGCAUUAAUAAUUAUUAAUAACUAAGUCACAUAAUUUGCUUAGAAGCUUUGAAGAAGUGCUCUACUGGCUGAAUUGGUAGAAUAAUGUGCAUUAGGUGAUGUAGCAACUAUCAGCUGACAAAGCAGGAGAUAAAAAAUUUUGUGCUGCUGUGAAUGAAGGUGAUUUUCUUCAUUCUCCAUUGUUCUUUUGUUUUCACUAUCGCCGCGUGGUCCGAACCAGAACUGACAGCAUCCUCUCCUUAUCAUUUACCAAAAUUCCUUGAAACUCAUCUUGUUCAUUUCGCUUUGGGUUAUCUUGAAAAAUGCUAUUGCAAAUGUGAUUAACUGUGCUCCUAAAACGGAAUUCUUUUCUUCAGAAUAUGAUGUCAUUCUUCAGUGCUGCUUAGAUGUAGGAGAAUUAGAAGGACAUUGAGUGCAGUUAAUUCCAUUGAUUGUUAACAGCACAAAUGAUACAAUCUAUUUAUUGUAUUCUUCACCUGGUUCAUGGCCAUAGCCUUGCUUAAAUAUGGUAAUAUUUCUAACACCUACACCCAUCCAGUGAUCAGGAGCCAUUGUGCUUUAGGUCAAAAAUAGGUUCCCACAUCUGACAUCCUGAAUAUGUUGUUUAUUGUUGUUGUAUAUGAAGCAGGUACAGACAGGCCAGGACAAUAAUUACAUUUAUUAAUAGUCAAAUUUUAUCCAGAUAUGGAAUUUGUGAAUAUACAACAUUGCUUUAUUGACAUACCUUGUCAAGUGGUGAAAACUGUAAGUAUAAUGUCCUCACUGAAGAAGAUUGAACCAGUGAAUUAUUCUAUUAGUAGAGUACGUAAUUUUUGUACGGAUAAAGCACGUAUUUGAUUUCCUAUGCUUGAAAUCACAUUUUAAAAUACUAAUAUUGCAAUACAGCCAGUAGGUGGCGAUAGCCAUUUAAUUUAUUAAACUAUGGCAGCUCCCCAGCUCACGCUCUCGUGUUGGUACUCACGUUACCUUUGAGCCUUACAAAAAAAGAAAUUAAAAAAAUCACUCUUGAAGAGUCUUUCUGAGUGUACUCUCAACUUUAUAGUUGAAGGAUUUGCUGUGCAGGGAAAUGCAACAGCAUUUGUCGGAGCAGUGUCAGAGUCAUGUCAAUUUAAGCUCCAGUUUCCUGUUCUUCUAUAUAUUGACAGUAUUAGCUUAUUAUGAAUUUUUCCUUACAUUAUAUAUAUGUUUAUGAUGUAUUCUUUAGCAACUAGGAACAAAUGUUCCCAAGGCCUUUUUUUUCUGUGGCAUGUAUAUAUGCCUUUGUACUUAGACUGAGGGAGCCACUUGAAAGCUGUAGAUUGUAUGCAGAUACCCACUGGUAGUAUAGGUGCAAUAUCAUAUAAGAUAAAAAAUUAGAUUUAUUUUCUCUGAAUGAUACAGAAUGUUAUUAUUGGUAGGAUAUGAAGAAGAAAAGGCUUGUGUAUAGUUCUUAAAAGUGUUUAGAGUACAAUAGCAGUGAUAGUUGGGAGUCUGUUUAGGACAAAGCCAUGAGGGGUUUUCUCAGAUUAGUGAGACAUUACUCUUAUAAAAUGUUAUGCAAUGCUAUUUUGAUUAACUGUGUGUUAAAAAAAUCUAGUCCUUGACUUGUCAAUAGAUUGGUUUUGUUUUCUGCAAAUAGACAUCAGGUGGCUCUGCUGCUUGAACCAAAUGUUCAGCUUUAUCUUCAGCCAGAAAUUUAAUAUGAAAUGAGAGUGAAAGAGAACGUCCAUGAAAGAAGAGGAUAAACAGGAGGCAGAUGGUCCAUGUGUGUAACUUGCAUUGCCAAAUAGUGGAUUAAGAUGAUCUUUUUGAAUGCUACUUCACAACCUUAGAGCAACUGAGAGAAGUUAGGUUUCCAUUAGCUAUUGAAUGAGAAAAUUUAUUCCAGUCUUCAUAAGAACAUCUCCCAUUUCCUGAACUAGAGGAGAAGAUGCUAAUCUAAAGAGUGACCUAGAAGCAGUGUAAGUAGAGGGAAGCACAAAAGUGCCAUCUCCCUGCAUGGUUCUAUCAAACCCAUUUACCAUACUGAUCAGAGACUGAGUCAGAGCUAGAAAGCAGAUGAAAUUCACAGGAAAACCAUUUGAGCAGUCAAUAAUUUUGCAGUUCGCAACAAUGCAUUAGAACUGUUUCUUCAGCCACAGUGUUGUAGGAUGGUUCCCCUGACUGGAGGGCUAUGAUGAAUUGUGCUCUGUAUAACAAAGCAGCUCAGAUGCAAGGAGCUUUGCUAUGAAAAGGACAAGUCUGUCAGCAGUUUAUGGGAUCAGAAGGGAGGCCAUGAAGCAGACAUAGUGAUAGGAUUCUGCUACUGGUUGCCCAGACAAGAAGAGCAUAGCCUUCCUUAAACAACUGGAAUAAGUCCCAUAGGCCCUGCUUCUCAAAUGGAGUCUUGAAUCAUUCUGACAUCUGCUGGAUGGACAUCACAUCAGGGAACAGGUAGCUGAUGAGAUUUCUGGAGUACAUGGGGGACAAUUUUGUGGUUCACUUAGGUAGACUGACUAGAAGGGCUCCACUGACCUGACCUUCUGAAUAUGUAAGAGCUGGUACAGAAUGAGAAAGCUUGACAGCAGACUUGGCUACAGUGACCAUAAAAAGAUGUUAAAGGAAUUAAGGAAAGGGAAUAGUAGUCUGACAGCUUAGGACUUUGUGGGCUUUUUCGGGGAAUUAGCAGGAAGGAUCUCAUGAGAGGUUGAAGGGCAAAUAUGCCCAGGAGAACUGGCUAGACAUCAAGGAUAUUCUAUUUAAAUCAGAAUAAAGAAAGAAAGAAAGAGAGAGAGAGAGAGAGAGAGAAAGAAAGAAAGAAUGGAAAAGCAAAAGAUAGCCUAAGCGUAGAAAAGAAAUGGAUAGAAGCUAGUAGCUGGAAGCAGGGUCAAGCCACCUGUAAGAAAUUAGGAAGUAUCACCUGGGUAUACAAUGAGGACCUCGAAUGGGAUAGGCAGUCUUGUACCAAAGGAUACAAACAAGUUCAGUGUCAUCAUUGCCUUGGUUUUUACUAGCAAGCUCUCCUCUCAGAUUUAUCAGGCUCCUUUUGUUCAGUAGCAAAACUUGAGAGAAAGAGGUAUUACAAAUGGUAAAGGACAAUCAAGUUAGAAACUACUUAAACUGGAAGUACUGAAGGUGAUAGGCCUGGAUGGGAUUAAUGCAUUUCAAGGUGCUGAGGAAGUUGGCAGAUGUCAUUACCAGGUACCUCUCUUUUAUCAUCCAAACGUUAUGGUGAACACAGCUGUUGGAUGAGUUGAGAAAGAGAAAUGUCAUGCUCGUCUUCAGAAGUGGUAGAAGAGAUCUGGAAACCAAGGGGUGGUGAGCCUUACCUCAGCCUGUUAGAAUCAUAGAAUCAUAGAAUCGCUCAGGUUGGAAAAGAUGUUAAAGAUCAUCAAGUCCAACCACAACCUGACCAUAUUACCCUAACUCUAACAACCCUCCACUAAAUCAUGUCCCUGAGCACAACGUCCAAAUGGUUUUUGUAAACCUUUUCCAGUCACAUAAAGAGAAGAAAGGUAAAUGGAAAGUGCUAGUGUGGAUUUACUGUGCCUGGCAAUCCUGAUUACUUUCCAUGGUGAGAUGAUUGGUUCUAUGGAUAAGAGUAGUGCCUGUAGAUUACCUUGAUUCUAGCUAGAUCUUUGUUCUAGUUUGUUAGAAAUUCUUAUAGACAAACAGAAGAGGUAUGAACUGGACGGCUAGACUACGAAGCUAGUGAUAAACUGGCUGGAUUGUUUGGUUUGAGGUGUAGAGGUCAGUACUUAAAAGUUUAAAUGACAACCAGUUGAAGAUGCAUCCCUCAAGUGUUGAUGCUAGAGAAAUUGUUUUUUAACAUCUUCAUCAACAAUCUUGCUGAUGGGGUAGGAUUUUGCUUUCAUGAACAACACCAAACUGGAGUGAGCAAUUAAUACCCUGCAGGGCUGGGCUGUCACUUGGAGGAACUUUGACAGCUAGAGAAAUGGGGCUGGUAGAGACAUCAUGAAUAUAAACAAAGUCCUGCACCUGUGAUGGAGUUAUGUCAUGCAUCCACCGGGAUAACAGCUCUGCAGGAAGGCACGCUACAGGCAAGUUGAACACAAGGGAGCUUUGUACCCUUAGGUGAUGAAGACCAACCAUCUAUUGGGCUAAGGUAGUAAAAGUAUAUCAAUCAAGCUAAAGGUAGUGAUUAUUCAUGUUUCAUGUUUGACACCACAUUUGAAAUACCUUUCCUAGCUUCAGGUUCCUUGGUACCAGCAAGAUAUUGAUUGACAAAGCGUGAACAUACGCAUGAAAAACUGAUGAGCAGAUAAACUGAUUGUUUUGUCUGGAUAAGGGUAAGGGUCAAUGAGUCUAACUGCUAUCUGAGGAGGCUUAGGAAACUCCAUGCCAGAGGACUUUUUGAAACAACAUAUUUAACUUGAAGUUGGCUCUACUUUGAGUAGGAGAGGGCACUUGGUGAUCUUCAGAGGUCCCUUUCAAUACAUUUUCUUCUGUGAGUGAAUGAUUAUCUUAACAUGAGGCCUUAAUGCGAUUACUGGCAAGCUAGAUAUGUUUCAUAGAAAUCAUUAAAAUUAAAAAAAAAAAAAAAAGUGUAAUUCUUCAUCAAAGUCUCCAGGUAAUGAAGACAGUGAGCAGUCUGCAUUUAUUAAUCAUGCUUACCUAUAGCCAAAGCAGAAAAUAUUUCAAAUAUCUAUCAGUGCCCUGAGCACACUAAUGGCUUGAGGGUACUAAUGCCCUGUCCCUGUCCACUGCUGAGGCUCCCUCACAUGGCCAGGAUCACCACGUCAUCCCAGUGCCACUCACCCCUGCCCCAGUAAGGCAGCAGGGAUGGGCUCCAGCUCCCCACAACCCUGCCCUGCCUGACCAUAGUCUGAUGCAGUUUCCGAAGGGCCGUGAAGGUUGCCAUGAGCACCAAGAGUACUUUUUUGUUGUUGGAAUUUUAUUUUAUUUUUUACUUCUGCUGUUGUGGCUAUUUGAGUUUAUGUCAAUAGUUUAAAUGCAUGGUGGAGUAAGAAGUUGAACAUGGCUCUCCCGUGCCCUUUCUGAAGGUUUUAAACACUGAGCUGUAAAAUCAUUACGAAGGGAAAAGUAAAAUUAGUAUGCAAAGUUUCUUUCUCAGGACUAUACACAGUGAUUAUAUCCCUUUUACAUACUGCUAACACAGAGCUCAUAUGUAUACCAACGCUGUGGUAGAAAUUUGUCUUUGAUUGCGUUAAUUUCUUUUCAUUGAAAACUUUGGGCGUUUCUCAGAGAGAAAAACAUCUCAAAUAUAUUUAUGAGCUGGGGAUUUUCUUUCCCAGGCGGUUUGCCUUGCAGAAAAGAUGAUCUCAUUUGCUGAGCCAUGCUGCCAGCAUUCUUCCUUUUCAUGAAAGGAAAUUAUGGCUCCUGUGAAAGUGUCACAAAUGACACGGAGGGUUGGCAGCACAGAAUCAUUAUUGCUUGUUGAGUAAACAUUUUCAAGCAGAGAAUAAAUAAAUCCUCAUCAUAACUGAGGAUUUGGAGAGGGGUAAUAGAGAACUGUAUUAGGACAUUGUUAGCAUUUAAAUGUGCCUGUUACCAAGCUAUAGCAAAAUUAACUACCGUGACUACCAUUACACUGUCUUGCAACACUUGUCUUGUGCCCCCUCCCCGGCGCUCCUUGGCCCCCUAAUUUUUCCCACAGAGCUGGGUGGUGUUUCCCACCCGGCCUUUGCCCCCAGCAGCAAAGAGAGGCAUCUCUGUCUGCUGACUGAGCUCCCCAUAGCCCCUUCCAAACUUGCAGGGAAUUUCUCUGCACAAAGGGUGGCUCAGAGCUGGCAGGUGUGGGGUGCGGGUGGCUAGGAAUGGGGGGAAUGUGAUUAUGUGUCAGGGAGGUGCAGGAGGGGAAGGCUUCUCUUCUGCUGUGUGCUACAGGCUUCAUCACGUGCUGCUGACCUCAGCACAAGAUCAGCUCACAAUGUAAAGACCCCUACCUGUCUCAUUUUCAAAAGGUUUUAUUGAGUUUUACUACUCUGAUGGUAUUGGGUAUAUGUAAAUUUUAUAGAAGAGUCACAUGGUGACUCCUACAAUUGAAGUGACUUUUCUUUUAUUGUUCUUUUAUUUUCUGCCCAAAUGAACACGUUAUUUGGGAGUGUGCUAGUGACUGGUAUCUCUGACAGUAUGACAGUGAACUACUUGCCUGACCUUAAAACAGCGACUGCAUUAUGUUGGUACAAGUUCCUGCUAUACUGUUAGUGGUUUGCAUGCUUGAAUUCACACUUUGCAAGGCUUUGAAGAAGUGGCAGUUCACACAAGAUUGUAGGGGAUGAAAGAUGACCUUUAAAAGUCUCAGUGAAGCAGCACAGCAUACUUUCUAACUAGAAUGGAUGUUCAUACAGGCUGAUGACCUGGAGGUGAGAGCACAGAUUUUGUCUUGGGUGCUGGCUAGCAGAAAGAUCUUAGUGCAUGAGCUUUUUAUUUAGGAAUUCAUUUUUCUAGGGGGUCCUUAGGAAUGGAACAUCACUCUCCUUAAGGCGUGUCUGAAACUGCAGCUGUUCAUCCAGUUUAUUGCACUUCCGGAGGCCGAAAGUUUGCUUUUUGUAGCUUAGAAAACCUCUUUGUAGGUUUUCUAUGUCCGGCAGUUGACUGAUGGUCAUCGUUUUCUCCAUUGUCCCAUUAAUGCUCAAAGGCUUUAAUUUGGAGAUAUUUUAUUUUUUUAUUAUUUUAUCUUUAUAAGGAAAAACAAUGAUAGAGAGCUCAAGGCUGUACAUGUCUUUCUAAACUCAGUAGGACCAGUUUUCUGAACUCUAGCUCUGUCACCAAGAUCAUGGGCAGACUCUGGUCCAAAUUUCUUACAGCCAGCUCCCUCUAAAGCAUGUGUCCUGGAUUCAGGAAGAUGGAGUGUUGCAAACCAAAGCAGAGGAGGAGGCUGCCAUCUAAGCAGUGUGAAGUCCACUGCAUGAGCCUGCUCAUGGUUGUUUUUGUGUUGCUGUCUUUUUUAGUAUUUAUUUUUUUACAUAGCAGUGUCAACAGACCUUGAGAAAACAGACAAAAUACAUAUCACUUUUAUUCUGCCAAUACAUACAGAAUGCCACCUCUGGAUGUAUUUGUACUACUUUCAAGGCAGUGUACCUAGUAGAUGUCAAUACAAGCUCAGUUGGACUAUCCAUAAGAAAUGAUUAUUGUAUAAUUGUAGUAUUUUACACUGAAGGACUGGAGUGAUGGCUGCACUCAGUUUUUGAUAAAUGAAAACCUGCUGCACUAAAUGAGACGGUUAAUUCACCAAAGCAUGUUUACUGUGGAAUUCACACCCAACUGCAGCAUAUGUAUGUUACUAUUACAUAAUGAAUAAAUUAUUAUGAGCUGCGACCCCCAGAGGCAUCCAGGUGCCUGAGUGUCUCCCCUCCAGUGAGUGAACUGCAGCCACUUUGACUGGUGGUAGCUGGUGCUUAGCAUACCCAGCUCAGAAGUAAGUCUCCAGGCAUCCAUAAGAGGCUUUCCAGUAAACAAGAUAGCCCCUCUAAUGAUGAAUGAGUUCUUCUUUAUUCUUAUGGCUUGAGGUAUUUAUCUUCUUGCAUCAUUUUCUGAUUUCCAGUGCUAUAGUAAGACUGCUGUAAUUUGCAAUGUAAGAGUAGUGUGAAGCUCAGUUUGUUCUGUUUAAUAUAGUGUGUGGACUGAAAUUCAAGUAGAUAGCAAUAUUUCAAAGCAAAUAAAUACAUCUGUGUAAGUCAAGACAAAUGCUAAAGCAUAAUCAGUCUCAAAGUGAAGUAUAAUUUGACCAGUGAAUGAAUUCACCAAGCUGCUAGCAGUGAAGAAAUUGGAGUUCCUUGGCACACGAAAGAAGUUUAUUGCCUAGAGAUGAUAGUGCUUGUCUCCCUGUGGACUUGUGGGGUAAAGCCUCACAUCAGCCUCACAUAUGCUAAUAAAGAUCAAUAUUUCUUAUUUUCUCUUCUCAUAGUAAGGAAAUUAAUCCAUGGUGUUACUUUAGAAAAAUAACCCAAGUGGUAGAUUUGGGCAGAGAAAUUCUUACCUACACCUCAGUUUUAUUCCACAGGAAGCCUAGUGAUUACUGCUUUGCUAAUGCAUGAGCUUAUUUGGAAAAGCAGCUUUGAGCAUGCAUAUGAAAUGGUAGCCACCCUUUGCCACUGCAUGGGCCAUUCUACUCUCAGCCCUUUGUUUUAGUAAAUAUGUUCCCAGUGGGGCAAAAUUCUUGCCAAGCCUCUUAGAAGGUGUCCUUAUACCCAUACUUCAGUUUUCCACAUAGACUUUUUUUUUUUUCUUUUUCCCCUCAACUGUUUGUUGUUAAUACAGCUUCAGGUUUCCAUUAGUACAAUAUUUGAGUGUCUCAGUCUAAAGUGUGUUUAUUUUUUCAGGUCCACGUGAAACAGGGAAGGCUCUCUGAUAUUUCUUUUCAGGUCAUACUUUGGUGGGGAGAGAAUAGAAACACAGAGAAGCUCAGAUUCUACAAUACAGUGAGGUGCCAGACUCCUACGUGUCAGAAAUUCCUCCAUGUGUUGGAGGGUCUGAGCAUGGCUUGGUUCACAUCACAAAGCAAGUAUGUGGCAGACUGGGGAAUGCAGACAAUGAAUUGGCCUGCUGUGCCUCCAGUGAAAAUGGGCUUGGAGGGCACGCAUUUAAUGACCGUCCAGAAACAAGAAGCAAAGGCAGUGAGCAGGAGGGUUUGGAAAAGAGUGGUGCAUUUCUUACGUAGGGUCUUUACUGGAUCAAACUAAGGUGUGGCUGUACCUGUCAGCAUGAAUUGUUACUGCACUCGGAAGAGGCUGUUCAUUGGAAGAUACUCAAAUUAAAAACAGAGUCCUGUAUUUUCAAGAACUGCAGGGCAAAGGGAAAGAAUAUUCAUACCAAACAUUUUUAACAUACAUAUAUUGGUAUUAUUGGCCCUAGCUCCUGACUCAGUGACAAAAGCAUAUGUGCAUAAAGUGAUUUCUUUGAGGUAAAGGUCAUUGUUCAGUCUGCGCAUGCUGAAUGUCUUGUGUUAACCUUCUCUUUAAGCAUAAGAGCAGACCUGCCACAGUCUCCAUACAUCUUGCCUUUCCUUUUGAAUCACAAAGGAUUCACUUCACUUAUAACAGCCCGACUAAACGUGGUGCAAUUCCAACACUACAAUAUAUAUAUGUAUAUAUAUAUAAAAGAUGUAUCAAGUUUUUAAAAGAAACUUCUGGAAGCUUAAACAUAGGAAUGAAGGAAUGAAGACUCAGGGCUUUGUGCAAAGCCCCGGGGACAGCCUGCGACUUUGCUGGAACAAAAGUUUCACUAUAAAUACAUUGCGAAAAGCAAACAUAAUGUAGAUAGGUUCAUUGUAUUUCUCUUGCACCUUCUCGCUUUUGUUUAAGUUUAAACCAAUCUUUUGGAACUAUGAGUCAUUUUCAGAACAGAGAGUGAUUCAGGAGAUGUAAUCUUUGUGUUUUAUAGGCCAACAUCAUUAGAUAGGCCCUAUGCAAAUUAACAGAAGCGUUGCUGAACAGCAGUGACUGGCUUACCAUGUAUUUAUGGUUGCUUCUAACUCUCAGCCAGAAAACAUAAAUGUCUCUCUGGUGGAAACGUGUUUGGUGAGCAAUAACCCUCUCAGUUGGAGAAGAUCCAUCUGUCUUUCCUUCUACUUCAUGCAUCUUCACCACUGAAAAGAAGUUCAAGGAAAAUCAAGUUUCAGUUGUCAAAAAACCUGAUGCUUAAGAAUGAUUCUGUGAAAUAGACCAAAAAAAAGCAGCUGAAUAUUUUGUGGCUUAAUUUCAAGAUUCCCAUCGGUGCUAUAAAAAUACAAUUGAGUUUUAACUACUGCCUUCAUGCUAUCAAGAUGAUCCUGUAAAACUUAACUAUUUUGGUGUUUGCUAUUAUCUGAUUCUUUAGCAUGAAGUGGAAAGCAAAAGUAUUUUCCAAGAUUAUAUUAAUAUUUUCUUUCAGUUACAAGCUACAUCAAUUAAUUUCUUUAUAAACUCUACUAUAACAAGUUCCCACUGAUUCUUGGUUACUAUAAACAACAUCUGGGUACUGCACUGGUGCACAAGUUCUGUAAACACAUACUUUUAUAUCCAUCACAUCCUGAUGUUUCACAAGGAUAAAGCUGAUGUUCCCCUAAAAAAUAGAGAAGGCAGAUGCCUGUAGUGAUUUCACCGAAGUUACAACGUGAAGCAUGUGUGAUGUUAGGUACUUUACAGUACUUCUAAAGGGAGAAAGAAUGUGGCCGCAGAAAGGGAAUCCUGCCCGCAUGUUUGAUUCUUGAAAUGCACGUUAAAAGAUUUUUAUAUAUAAUAAAAGGCAAACAGUAAUAGAACCCCGCAGAUGGAGACAACUGUAGCACAGAGAGUGAAAAAUGUCUCACCGUCGGGCAGUGGCAGAACCAGCAAUGAAACACAAACCUCUUGCUCUGCUGGUUUACUCUCCAACUAAUUCACAUAAUAGGGGGUAGGGCUCUUUGCAGUGCUUCAGGCUGAUGGAGGUUACGCCUACAUAAAGUCCACACUUUUACCCUUGUACAAAGCCCCAAGCCCCUUUUACUUGCUUUUGGAGCCCUCCCAGAGACCCUGUAGCUCAGAGGGGAUCUGAGUGUGGGUCAAACAGCAGAUAACAGCUGAGAAGGGUUUUAAGAAAAGGUUUCUGGCUGCUUCUUGGCUGUUUGCUUCCCGGCUGAGGAGGGAGCCCAUCUGUGCAAGCCUUCCUCCUUCAUUUCAGUGCUGGCAGCGAGCUGCAGUCUCUGCUUAGGAGCAGUGCCACGAGCUGUGCCUUCCAGGAACAGGAGAGGAUGCAGCGUGCCCGUGUGGGUGUGUGGUGCACCCUUUGGGCCCCAGACGCAGGGACAAGACAAGCACAAAAGGGAGAGUAGGAAAAUGGAAUAUGCACAACUGGUUUAAUGCCAUGGGUUGUACACGUUUCUGAGACCAGCGUUUGCACUCAUUACGUGAUGUGCUUUCUCUUUAAUGGAAUUCUCUUAGACGUGCUGCUGAUAGGCUCUCUUCCCAUCUCUCCUUGAAUUCAAACAUUAUGGCUGAUUGAAAAAUAAGCAUGCAUUUUUCUGCUUUUUUCUUCUUUCGGUGUUUUUUUUUGGUCAGGUGGAAACAAUGAGGUGAACUCAUUUGUGACAGGCCCUUCUUCAGGCCUCUCCAACGUGGUCUGUAAUGAGGGCACAGUGGAAAUUCCACAAAGAAGCCCAGAAGCUUUUAAGUUUGGGCAACCGUGUUGUUGUCUGUGUUUUAUUCGCAUCAAUCAGGUUUUUUUCACACCCAUCUUAGCUUCUUAUUGGUACCACAAGUCAACGCUUGCUGGAAAACGCCACCCUUGGAAAACAACCUGUAACGUACGACUGCUGUCUCUUCGUGUAUUUUCUGCUCAGAUCUUAACAUGCGCUUCCUCUGAAGGCCACCAGCGAUAAUAUUCACUCCCUCUCCAGAACCACAAGUCUGAUUGUGGUGCCAUCCAUGUAACAGAAUGCUGUUGGUGUGUGCUGGUGUUCUCUGUUCAUGCACGUAAACCUGGGACUCCCAGGGAACUUAAGAAGCAUGAGCCUUGUUUGUGAAUCUCCAGAUGGGGGCAGACAUUGAGAUGCACGGCUAGAAUAUUAGGCUGGGAUUGAUUACCCCAGUUCAGCUGUCAGGGAGCAGAAAGAAUUAAACCAAAGUCUCCUGGAUCCCAGGAAAAUGGCAUUACCGAUACCUCAACAUUUGGAGCAUCACGUAAGUCCCUUGGGAAUAUUGUCCUUUGCAUUUAUUAAAAAGGCCAGUAAAAAAUAUUCAGUCUUGGUUCACUCUGAAAUAAUUAUUUUCAACGGUAUGCUGCACUGAAAAAUCCCUGGUUCUAACAACUUUGGUUCUGAUGAUGCUUGUUCAAGCAUUUAGAGAGCACAUAAACACUCAUUAAUGCCUAUUUCAUGUGUAAUAUAGUGACAGAUACAAGGCCCAUUAUUGACUGAGGCUCAGACACAAGGCUUAAAUUUCACUGUAGACACUUCACUUGGUGAAUGCAAUCUAUAAGAAAUUCCAUAUAACGCCUCAAAUGUUUGUUUCCAUUAUCUUCUCCAAUUAGCAAAUGCAUCCACAAUGCUGGGAGUGGAGACCAGAGCCCAUUAGCACUCAGUCCUUUGCGGGUUACAGCAGCAGGUUUGCUGCUGAUACAAGCUAUUUCUGAUCCUGCGAGUCUUGCAUUCCUAUCUUCAAGCAGGCCCAGUUUCAGCAGGGUUAAAAAUUGUCUUUUUUUUUCUUUUGAUUCACCCAAUACAGUGUAUGCUCACUUAGGACAUAGUGCCAAACUUUGCCUCACGCACUAAGAGGUGUUCUUCUGAAUGGUGCUGAGCUUGGCUGAGCACAGGAAGGUUAAAGCGAAUAGCGGCAGCUCCUCUGUGAGGAGGAAGAUCUGCAUCACGAAGCUAUGACAGAUAUCCAAGCACAUUUGUAGUCUGUGUGGAGAAUCUUCCCUUUGCACUGACCCCUCUCACAGGGCAUCAGAAAAUUUCUUCUGGGAUCACAUAUUUCUUUCCAGUCUGCUUUAGGCUGCCGGGUGUUGCAUAUUAUGAAAGUAAAUUUCCAAGGCCUUAGCCCUGCAUGGACUAUGUUUUAAACUAUGACAUCCAUUCCUAGGGUCCAGUACCUAAAACAUAUUUCUAGGCCUGUAUGUGGAUUCAAAAGAGAGGUAAAAUCUUUUGCCUGCUUGAGAUGCUCCCGUGUCAGCCAGAUCAAGCUUCCAGCAAACUGUGAGAACGGCAGGCCAUUUCCUUUAUAUAGGGGGAAAACACAGAGGAAGAGUUUGAUUAAGCUGCUGAAGUGAUUGAUAUAGCCAGUUGCUGUGGCCCUGGCUGCUGGCCAGCAACACUGGGCAGCCGGGAAGUGAUGGAAGCACGACGACUUGGGGAAAGCAGAUAAUGGGCAAGUAAAUUGUAUGGCAUGUCCGUAAAUACAGGAAAUUCCUGUCCUGAAGACACAGCCUUCUUUGCCUUAAUAUUAUACAUGAAUCCUCUUGCUGGGUGGAUGAUGGCACGAAGGAGAAAAUUAACUUUCAGAGUCAAAACAAGAAGUGUGACAUAUUUCUUGUGCAAUGAUGAAGGGAUCUAUGCUCUCCUGGAGAGCACAAAGCUUUAACCUCCGACAGCCUCUGCUGGGAGGGCUGAGAAGCAACUGAGGCCACAGCUCUGCUGAGUUUGCACCAGAGAGUCUUAAUUUCUUUACAGGGCUCUUUGUGAGACUUGCAAUAGACAAGGGCCCAAUCUUAGUCUCUCUGGCCCCAAACCAAGUGCAUUGCAGUUGAUUCUCCAUCCCACCAACCUCCUCUGAGCUCCACUGGGAAUCAGCUACUGACAUUUGCACUGUGCCUGGAAUGUGAGCAGCACUGUGCUAAAUCAGCGCUGGGGCAAUGUUGCCAGCUCCUAUUUUUUAUGAAGAAAGCAUGAGAGUGCUUGAAAUGUUCCUUGAAGGCUGUGCUUGUGGAUCCAUGAGAGCGCUCGCAUCUGAAAGUUUCUUAAGAAAGGGGAAAAAGAAAAAGAAGUUGAAAAUAUGGACAUGAACCAAAUGCAAAAAAUCAGAAGAGAACCAAACAAUAUAAAAUAGAACAUGCUGUUUAACACUCACGAUUUCUGUGGCGUGGUCAAUCACUUUUCAAUGCCUGGGCUCAGCAGAAGUGGAGGAAUUACAGAAAAGUAUGGACAACAUUUCUUGCAGCUCUUUCUGAGGGAAGAAAGAACUGAGGAACAAAGGGAACAUGAGAAGGCCUUUGUCUAUUUCUCAGUGGGUGACCAUGCCAGUCACUGAGUGAGACAGAAGGCAGCAGUGUGUGCCUGGUGGCCCUUGGAGCUUCAGGCCAUUCAGAGGAUGAUUGAACGGCCAUGGCUAGAGCCUGGGAGAGCAGAAUGUGUUGGGCAAUAAUAUCGGCCUGGUCUGUGUGGCUGGGCAGCUGUCCUCAGACAACCAGCUCAUUUCACUGAAUGCCCCUCUGAUGGCAAUAACUUCUAGCCCCCACUAACUGCAAAUGGAUGGAGAUGGGUGACCUGGAGGUGAGAGGUGCCAUCUUCCAUUCCAGUGCUCUGAGUCACUUGCUGGCUCCUCACAAUGAGCUCUCUGUGCUGCUUUGAGGGAUGCUUUUGCCUUGCUGCUCUCCAGCACUGGUCGUAGGCCGCAGUUGGAACAAAUGGGCUGUUUUCAACAAACCCUUCCCCUCUGGCCCCUUGUUUAUUUUAGAGGGCAUGGUAGUAUGUAAUGUGUAGCCUCAGCAUUUGCUGAUCACAAAGAUCUCUCUUAGUUUCACUCGCCUUGACAAUCCAGACCUUUGCAAUAGCCUGGGGACUGUACAGUUCACACCAGAGUAUGUGCUGUGGACUACCAGAGAGGAGCAAACACAGGCUGCAAGUAAAGAGACUCUGCAGGAUACUACUGGGCCCUGGGCAACCUGAUCUAGUGCCUGGUUGGCAACUUUGCCCAUGGUGUGUGUUUGGGGGGGGGAGCUAGGUUAUGUUUGAAGUCCCUUCCAACACAAGCCAUUCUAUGAAGCUAUGAUUCUAUGAUUCUACUGCCUGAAUAUAAAAUGGAGAAGAAGACACUUGUGUAUUCUACUGGCACUGGUCUAGCUGAAGUCAGUGGCAGUGGUGUGCUGAUGACUGAUAUGUUUACAUGCAUGCGGAAAUAUGGCUCAUUAUUUCCACCAUCCAAUUCCACUAUCAAACUGCUCCCCUCCUUGUUUAGACAAACACCGUGUGCUGUGUCAGAGCAGGACAGACGUGGUGUGAAAAACCUGCAGCACGUAAGCCAUGUUAAGAAAACGUUAUACUGCAGCCCAGUCCUUCACUGUGCCAAAAACAUGGAAAACUUGUUAACUGAAAUGAGAAGAAUAAGGAAAGACUGCAUGAAGCUCCCUCCUAAUACUUCCCAUCCAUUGUGCUUCAUUUUUUUUCUGUUCUGAGGCACUGCCUUUGCCUGAAGUGCCACACUGAAGUGCUAAUGCUUACGUGUAAGUUUGCUCUGCUUGGUUACAACAAUGCCUUCAUGCUGUUUAUUUUUGCGAAAUAAAUGUGAACCUCUGUAGGGCCCUGGUGCCCUUGUGUUUUGCAGCAAAGGUCAGGAGUCUAUUCAUAAGACUUCCAAAGUGUUAUUGUUAAAACAUCACUUUGCUAUGUCACUGUUUUCCCUUUCCUCUCCUCACUCAAAAUAAUACAUUGUCAUUAGCAGCUCAUAACCCUCUCUGUCUAAGCACAGCAUAUUCAGCUUUCCUUGAUUUUUUUCCCAAGCUUCCUUCCUAUUUAAACAAAGAAUUGUUUUCAUCAGUUUGGGCUCAAAUAUUCCUAGCCUUGCUGUCAUGAAAAAAAAAAUAUGACUCUGUUUUAUGCCACAAUUUCUAAUCGCUGCAUUUUUAUUGCUGUUACGAGCAUUGUGAUUUAUUCCAACAGGAACAUAUGUUCUUAUAUUGGCAUUCUUGCAGUGUUCACUCUGACCUUUGUGAGAGCCUAUCUGUGGAUAAUGUGACCAAAACUUUAGGCUUUUAAUAUGUUUGUCAGCUUAUGAAUCCCUGUAAAUGAUACCUGAACAAGAAGGGAGAAUGAGAGAAAGAUGUGCUAUUGUAACUCAGUAACUGUGUGUGUUGCUGGCUCCUAAUAACUAAUAACUCAAGGUUUGUCAGUUACACCACGUAUAUUGAUUUCAGAAGUCUUUAACUUAGCAUUUAAUUUCUUACUCAAUGACUUUUAAAGUCAGAAAGAUCCACCUGAUUAUCCAAAAUGCCAUUUUCAGUGAUGUGGACUCAAAGUUAUUACUGAAGCAAUCUUUAUUCUGAGCCUAGCAUGGCGUCCCUGACCAAAUUUCAUCCCAUGUCAAAGUUACUGGUCCUCCAUCUAAGCACACAUACUGAGUAAACCCAAAACUUGCUCACCGCAUGCCAGAAGUUGACCAUAUUCAUUGUUAAAGAAUGUACAUACUUCUUCAGAUUUAUCUAUUUUGAUGUCUUGAAACUAAUGGUUUCAGUGCAUUCUUUUACAUUAGAAAAUUGUAUUUUUCCCUCUGAGAGCAUUUAUUCACUCUAAGCAGACCUCUGGGUCUUCAUUUUGAUAAACAGAAUAGAGGAAGCUCUGUAGGUGUCUUAGUUAGCAGGGCAAAUUCUGUACCUGAUGAAUAAUAAGGAAAUUCAACCCUGCCAACUUCUGUAAGGGAUCAACAGACUGAGAGUAGCUAGCGUCCAUAUUGCAUCAGGUAUUGCCAAGCUGUCCCUGGAAGUCUUGUUAGUAAGUUGAAGAGCUGUGUGUAAUGACUGGUUUUGAAAUCAGUGUCUUUGAUCUCUUAAUCAACGACUGGCAUAUAAAAGAACAGGGCCAUUAGCAAAAGUUUUCAAUUGACAGUUAUGCUGAGGCUGAAGGUCAGCUGGAAAAAGGAAAUUAAUGGAACAUUCAACUGAAGUUAUUAGUCAGGCAUAUUGUUAUGGGUGGUUUUGGAAGUACAGCAUUUGAAAGAACAGCCUGGUCUAGUAUUAAAUGGGGAGGUUGGUGGCCCUGCCUGUGGCAGGGGGGUUGGAACUUGAUGAUCCUUGAGGUCCCUUCCAACCCAAGUCAUUUUAUGACAAUAUUCGUUCCUUUUUUUUCCACUUUCGUGAAACUACUGCUGUGAUUUUUGAGGGAAAUGUGAUUUACGUGAUCACAGCAACUGUCUCUCCAACUCUCUGCCGUAGGUUAUGAAAUCUUUGGCUGGUCCUAUUUUUUGGGGAGAUACCUGGGAGGAGGUUAGACAGGUCUGUGUUGCUGCAGAAGGAGAGGCAGGUAUAACUCAGCCAUCCAACACUCUCCUUGAUGGUAGCAGCUGACCCAUCAGCAUAUGCGCAGGGCUGGCUGGCUAACACACACACAAGCUUUUUCUUUGGGGUGAUAAGGAGGAGGCAGCAGCAAGUGUUUUAGAGGCUGAAUUGGGCUAUUGCAUUAGUGAUGCUGGAAUAAAGGAACAAAGGAUACAUUUUCAUAGGAAACCAAUCUUCCUGUGGAGUUCUAUGAACUGCAGAACUAAUCAUGAACUGUGGGCAUGGAUACUGUGUGGAGUGUUGCAUGCUCAGAAGAGAUAAUUUCCUGUAAAUCAGAUAUAGAUGUCACAAAAUUAAAGAUGCUACCUGUGUCAGUUGCUAGUGGCUAUAAGAAAGAUAUUUGCUGUUUUUGGAUUUUUAUAUCUCUAUGGCUUUGUUGAUAUGAGUGAACGAUUAUUUGUCUAAAAAUGUGGUCUGCAUUAUACAACACUCUAUAGUGCUGUGAAUAGGAGUCUGCAGGCUGAGGCAGGCAAGAGAUUUCUCUGUGAUUAUAUAUAUAUAUCUGCCAUAACACAAAUGGAAUAAAAUAUUCCUACCAGCUCUGACUGUCAUCCACUUCUGGUAAUUAAUAUAUUUUGUGAUGACUUUUACUGUCCCCACAAUGAAUUAUUAUCCUACCUAUUGCCUUAAAUGAUUAGUAACACAAAUUCCAAUAUCCUGGCCCAUUAUACUGACAAGCCAGCAAUUAUAUAUCCAAAUGUAUGGACUCGCAAGAUAGGCCAUCAUCUCUUGGAGAAACAAGUUCAGAGCAAUGCAUGUCAGCCAGAAGAUUAAGAGCGCCAUGCUAGCUCAAAGAGCGAGUUUCAGUUCUUAUGAUGUCACAUCAGUAACUUCUGGAUUAAUGGCCACCUGAGAUCAAGAUGAUACGCCUAGAAAAAUUAAUGAUGGUACAGUAAAGUGCAUACGGGUCAGACAUGUGAGUGGUGAUCAGCGCUCGUGGAGCUCUUGGGAUUACUGAUGAGCAUCUAGGAGUAGGCUAAAAAGGAAGUAUCAAAAAUUGUUUGUUUACUUUUAAAUAUAAACAAGCUACAGGCCAUUAAAUCUAUUUUCUUUAUCCUUGCAUUUUUCAAAUAAAAAUUGUUUUAAGAAGCCUUCUGACAUGAAAUUACAGUCCUAAUUCAAGAGGCUUUGGCUCAUUCGAAGAUCUUUAAUAUAUUAUUUUUUUUAUUUAAUAAAGGACAAGCAGUCUUGAUACUAUCAAAAAAGACUGUGUCCCUGACAUAGAGUUCUCGGUAAAUAAUAUAACAUAUAGUAUAAUGUACAAGGUCUGCUCCAAAAGUAGUGCCUCCUAUUUUAUCAUAUUGGCCCACAGUGACAGAGGUGGCUAUUGGUGUUAUGGCAGUAGAGGGUGAACUUUCCCACCAAUAUCCUGUUACAUGUUAUUGCUGUGUGACAGAUGGCAUCGGAGGGGCAGCCUGACACAAUGGAGUCUGACGUGGAAGUGCGGAUGAAGCAAAGGGGUGGCGCUGAACCUCUCCAUGUGGAAAAAAUGGUACCCAUUGACAUUCAUUGACACUUUCUGAACUUUUCUGGAGACCUAACAGUGGAUGUGAACACAGUGAGGCAGUGUGUGGUGCAUUUCAGCUGUGGCGGCAGUGACAGCGUUCACCUCUGCUGGUGCAGAUUUUUAUGAGUGUAGAAUGCAUUCUCUUGUUUAUCUAUUAUUCUCUUGUUUAUCUUGUUAUUCUGGUGAGAAUGCAUAGCUAAUGGUGGUGACUGUGUUGCAAAAUAGCGUUUUGUAGCUGAGGAUCUGCUCUGUCAAACAGUGUUACAGGGCUCUUUGUAUCUGUCAUAGUUUCCAUGGAAAUAAAUAGGAGGCAUUACUUUCAGAUUGACCUAGGUAUAACAUAAGAUGUAUUAUGCAAUGCUGUGUGUUACGUGUGUUAUAUAUAUAAACCCAUGAAUUUUUAUAACAUGCAUUACCUAAUAUAUGCUAUAUGCAAUUUUAAACAGCCAGGUAUAAUGCCUCAUGGCUCUUUUGUUAAACCACAGAGCACACAAUUAUUUAGACUGCCAUCUGAAUGGACAUUCUAAGAUACACAAAACAUUACUUGCUGUAAAAUCUUAUUAUGUGUGGCUAAAAUACUACAUCUGUCCAGAGGUAGUUUUGAGUUGUAAAACAUAUUCAUGGUUUUCUAAAGUGCAGUUAUGUUGAUUCAAGCAAUCUCAUCUAAAUUAAAAUUUUCUAUUCAUAUCCUUUGUCUCAGAGAAUCCCUAUCUACUGAAAUGGGAAGUAGAAGAUUUUUCUGAUUACCCAUUCUGCAAAUUGAGACUGAGGUGGAAGAUUCACAGUCAUUUUUGUUGGUUUUGCCUUCUUUCAGGCUGAACUCUCCCCAUUCCCUGUUAACCUCCCAGACACAAUUCCUCUCCACUUCACACUACAAUUGCACCGGAGCGCACCAACUCCGUAAUAAAUCUUUCCUUUACCUAAUAUUUUGUCUGUGGGAGUCUUGAUGAUAGCAGACUUUUUGCAGAAAUUUACAUUUUGUUUAGACUUCAAAUGUAACUGCUAUGAAAACUUUUACAUACAAAAUCGCAACAGCAUUAUUCCCCUCUCCUAUUUUCAAUGCUAUGGGCUGAAGCUAUGCAGAAUGCUUCAUAUCUUCAUUCCUCUUUUUUAUUACCUCCUUAUUCUCUUCAGCUAAUAAAAAGCAAAACAGCAGAAAGGGAAAAGUAUCAAUUUGGUUCAGACAGAAAAACAAACAUCUUCCCUGUCUUUGGCAGAUGAGUAACAGAUUACAGAGUCUGUUUCUACCUCACCAAAAGCCAGAGAAAAAUAUUAUGAAAACUGUUGAAUGAACUAAAAAAUAUUUCCACUCCAUUUCUUUAUGAUGCAGUCUAGCAUUUAUUACCAGUUCAGGAACUACAUGGUUAGUUUGGACUGCGAGAUUUUGCACUGUGUUGAAGAAAAAAAGUUGAUAUAUAUAUAUUUUUUUAAUCAGUUUUUGAAAAAUCUUAGAAACUGGAGAGCAGAAUAGCUUCCAUUAUCUGCUGUAUAAAUGUCUAUAAAACAAGGAGCAUACAGUAUGUAAUCAGUCAGUACUUUUUACAGUGUGAUUCCUUGCUGCAAAGACUUUUUUUAUUUAGCACUUGAAAUGAUCCCAAAUUUGUUGUGCCUGACUGACUUACAGAACGAUUGUAAGGAGGUGGCCAGAAUUAGAAUAUUAUCUGCAACAAGCUAAAACUGUGAAAAGUGCAGAAUAAAACAGUUGGUAAAGUGUUACUAUGAGCAGAGAUAAGGGAAGCUAGGCUGUCUGAGAGUAGAAGCACUGCAUUUAUGUAUUCUGUGUAGUAGUUCCUAACAUGAGGUAGAUUUCCAUCAUUCCAUCACCAUUAGGGAAAGCACACCAACUUCUCUGCUGAUGAUAUUGCAGAACACUGGAGUGUACGUCUGUGUGGUUGUGAACCAUCCAUGGCGAGUGUGUGUGUAUGUUUUUGGGGAGAGCUCCUUGGAGAGGUCCAAAGUGGGGCCAGAGACAGAGUUAAGGGACAAGCAGAAGCCCAUUUCUGGGGCUCAUUAUUUUAUUUCAGCAAAGCAAUGCUUCAUCGGUGGCAAAGCUGGAUCCCACCUUCACGUUUGUCCUCCAAAGUGAUGUCCACUCAUGUGAUGGAAAAUGUUAUACUUCUGAUGAUCAGCAAUUACUGAUUCUUUGCUAUCUUCACCAAAUUUAAGUUGGAGGAUGAGUUUGUUGGAUCUCAGCUUCUAACUACUGUGUCUCAUUAGCCAUUAGUUUUAUUAAAUCUCUGCCCUGCUCUAAAUGCAAGUAGGCUGUAAUCAAGUAAUUUCUUAACCUCUUUGAUAAACUCAAAUAGAUUAAGUUUCUGCAGUCUCCACCUAAGAGCUGUAUUUGCCUGCUUUAACCAUUCUCCCCUAAGCCCUUUUCAAACUUUUGACCUCCUUUUUUGAAGUGUGGUUUCCCCAAAAGGACACUGAAUUCCAGGAAUGAGCUCACGGAUGACAUGCACAGAAAGCACCAUCUCCUUGCCACUCAGUAUUAUUUCCCUAUUUCUCCAUCCAACAAUCUUUUAUGCCCUUAAAUAUGAACUGUUCUGCUCAAUUAGCUGUCUAGUGGAGCCCUGAGGCAGUUCCCAUUGUGGAGCUCUAAUCUGCAUUCUUUCUUCCCAGCUGCCCAACCUUUUGUUUUGGAAACAGGUUUUGCUUGAACGGGCAUAGCCUACCAAGGCAGACAGAUUGCACUGACUGCUCUUCUAACCUUUGUGAUAUCUGUGUAUUUCAUCUGCUAUUUUGGACUUACUGUUAGAUGAUUCCCCAUCCUGAAAAUGAUGACUACCCAUUUGCAACUUCCUCACAGCUUUUUAAAGAUCUGUGAAUUAUCCAUUCUUUAAUCAACUCAAUAUGUGCUCCAGUGAUGGUUUAGAGGAUUGUGUUUUUCCUAUAGUUAGUGUGCAGUGGUACCAACACGAUAUGAAGUCAUGUGCAGUGCAGUUAUCUGAGAAUGUGAAAUCUACCUAAUUGGUUUUGAAUAAAUCUUGCAGUCUUAGGAACAAAGGUGGAUUUAUUUAAUGUGACAAAUUUCUCUUUGUCUGUAACUACCCCACAGCAGAGCUGGGCCUUCCACUGAUUGCAAGCCAGUUUUGUUUAACCUGACUUUUCCACUGGCUCUGAGAAUGCACAAAAAAAAGGAUUGAUAAUGAGUCACUGAUUAGAAAGGACGAUUUGUUUUCCUUUUUCUUUUGUUCUCUGAGUUUGAGAAGAAAAGGGAGAGCUUAGAUUUCAUUUGCUCAUUUGUUUCAUAUGUUCUCAUACAUUAUCAACUAGCUGUUAAAGUUUGAAUGCAGUUUAUGUGGUAUUUGAAAAAACGACUUUCCUUUUUUUUUUUUUUUUUAAUUCACAAGUGGAUAAAAAGCACUCUCCAUUUUUCUUAGUCCUUUUGAAAUGCAUAAGGUCGGCAGAGUUGUUUUGAAGAUAGAAAAAAAGACAUAGAUGGAGAAUUUUCUUUUGUACUACAUCACUGAGCUAGAACGUUCUGUGCUCUUGCUGCACACAGCCCUACCAUGUUCCAUGCAAAUCUGAAAUGUUGAGAGCUAGCUGCACCAUUUAAGAGGAUGACCAGUCCCAGGGUGUAUGUUUGAAAGCAAGCUCUUCAAGACUUGUUCUCAAUGUAAAUACGAAGAAGCCUGCACACAAAAAAAUGUCUUUUAAGCAAGUAUCAAACAGAGAAAGCAUGAGUACUCUUCCUGCUCUUAGGAAAGGUCAUCUCUUCACGUGUUGCUCACUGAUUAAAGGCUUCUUUAUAUUUGGGUAUACAGUUCAAAAAGAACUGAUUUUUCGCCAUCUUUGAUAAUUUACACAGAUCACAGAGGCAUGGGCCAUGAAAACAGUACAAACUGUACAAUUCUUUUUUCUUUACUAGUAAAGUAUCUACAAUUCAUUACGUACAUGCUCGUUCUAAAAGCUUAUUUCCCCCAUAUAUUAAUGUUUUCUUAAGAAUUACAGCUGCCUUUAGAAGUAGAUCAUUACCAUUAUUCUCUAACCUUUUUCUUCCUCUCUGGCUCAGCAAAACUGCUGCUGUUUUUGGGAGACAGUAGCCCCCAGUGAGGUUCUAAAUGUGUCCUAAUCUACAGUACUGAGUCACAUGUUUUUCUAAAGAAGGAUCUACCAAAGCUUUGAUAAGCACAGUGCAUUUUUACUUACUGUCAUGACUUCCCCUUCUGUCUCCACAUGGAAAACAAAACAGAUAAACAGUUUUUUUUCCCUAAUUUGUAUUCAUCUGAACAUACAAUUUAUUACAGUAGCAAAGCAGGGGGAGAGCUUACUGUACAAAAGUAAUCUGCCUUAAAGAGUUUCUCUGCUUGUGUAAUGACUGAUUGACAGAAUUCAUGUGGCAAAUUCCUCUUAACAUUGUCUUUAAAUAACGUUGCUCCCAGGGCUCUAGGUUAAUUGUUUCUCUGUCUGCCUUUGAUAGCACCAGCUGAGAAGCCUGUAUUGUCUCCUAGGUUGUCAAGUGCCUAACAAGUCUGAGACUCAGAACUGAAUCAAAGGAAAAAAGAAGACACCUUUGAAACCACUUUGUAUAGUGAAUUCACUGCCUGCAGCCUAAAGUACCUUGCCUCAGCUUAGAGAAAUAUGGGCUAAAAAGACUCACUAACCCCCUUCCUGUUUUAAAAACCCAUAAAGAUUUCAUAACAGCAAUUGCAGCAUGGAGAGGACGCUCACCUCUUCUUCCACAGGCAAAGCUUCUCAAACACACACACACACAGAGGGUAGCUGCAGUGGCUUUAUCAUGGGCCACUUAUUCCAAGUGUCCCAAUGGCCUGGCUGGGAGUACCAAGUGAUGUCUGUCUCAGGAGUGCAUUGAUCGAUCCACAGGAUUCGGGCCUGGAGCUCAGGGUACCAAAGUCAUCUUUGUGAGGGGAUGUGGAUGUGCUUCAGUUAGAUGUAGGGGGAAAUGUCUGGUGUAGAGCCUCUACUUGGUGCAUGAACAGCUGUGCUGUCAGGUUUUUGGGUCUGAUGGCUGGCUGAGAGAAAAAGCACUUGUGGCUGUUUAGGUGUGGGCUGAAGCUAGGACUGCAACUGGCUUUGUUCUUUCCAACCAGUGAAGACAGAUAAACGUUGUCAUCUGUGAUUCGUCUAUAAGAAGGGCUGUUAAAGCAAUUAGGUUCUAAUUUUCAUUUCACAGUUUCUGCUUGUUAUCUUUGAUAAAUGAAGGAUGCUUAGGAUCAAGACUGCCUCCUGAGAUGGAGGGGCCUAGCCUUGACACCUGUAUGUGCAAGAACAAGCUGAAAUCACUAGUGCAAUGUUGUUUCACAUUGCUGCUGCUCUACCACCUGUUAAAUUGCUUCACCUCAGCGCUCUUCUGGGUCGCGUCCCAGUGAGCACUACAAGCAUAACCUACCUCUGUGCUUGGGCAUCUGGAGUAAAUUCACCCCCCUCCCUUUCUGUCUCGCUUGCAUUCCCUCUUAUGCUCUGCGUGACAAGAUGAAAUGUGCGCUACUGGACUGGAAUAAAACUGAAAGUCACUUGCAACUUUUUAAAAUACGAUGAGGCUAAUGUGGUGAAGGGGAAUGACCUUCUCAGUGGAUCAGACAUCUAGGAAUCUUUAAGAAUGUUGUUCAGCUUGUGCUGAACCCCCAAACACAUCCAUCACCACUCCAAAUCUUCUACUGAUUAAGCUGCUUGGAGUUCUACUUGGCAAUGACAAAGAACAGCAUUUCAAAAAGGUCACCAGGGACAUUUUCAAGUUUACUCAUCUGGAAUAGUUAUGAAUUUAGUUUUGCUCAGUUGUACUGUAUUGAUCACCACAGUGAUUUUAGAGUUCUGCAUUUUAAAUAAUGAGAAUGAUCUUAGGUAGCAGACUCAAAUCUAUCUGCCCUUUGGUGCGCACUUAGGGCAGGGCCAUAAAAGGCUGUUCCUUUGUGGUGGGGCAGGCCGUGGAGGUUCACCAUGUGGGCUACCCCAACAAUUAUGGCUCCUGCAUGCCCUCUCUCCCACUGAAUGCAAGGGACAAUAAAUGUAACUGAUCCCUCCAUGUGAGUGGGGUAGCUUCUUUCCAUUAACCAUGGGAUAAUUGGGUGCACAUUGCCUCAGAAGAGGCAAUAUGCUGACUCACCAGCCCACCUUGCCUCAUAGUAGCUAUCUAUGCUUGCACGGUGUGUUGUGACUCCACAGUGAGUGACUGUUUUAGGCUGAGGCAGACAAUCCACCCGAGCUCACAAGCCACAUGCCAAAAUCUUCUUCUGAGAAACAGCUGCAAGGCAUGCUCCCCAUGGCCCAGGAAGCCCAGAGGAAGAACUCCAGGAACAAUUCACAGGCAGGCUGAGAAAAUGGCUCCAUGAGGGAUGAGACUCUGCUGGCAUGAGAGCUGUAUGCAGAGCAAUUGGGUGGUAUUAGCAAUGACGGCCUCACUUUCUUCAUAGGGAUCAAAUUAGCAAACAACUCUUGUGCCAGUACAGCUGCAGUGGUCAUGCAGUGGCAGUGUGUCAGGAGGGCUCCAUGAGAGCACUGCUGCUUCAAGUAUCUGU
rnacentral:lncRNA from 1 species